ACCGGCAGCUCAAGUGGUGGCCAUUAUUAUUGGGCCUAAAGCGUUCGUAGCCGGUUUGAUAAGUCUCUGGUGAAAUCCCGCAGCUUAACUGUGGGACUUGCUGGAGAUACUAUCAGACUUGAGGUCGGGAGAGGUUAGGGGUACUCCCAGGAUGGGGGUGAACUCCUAUAAACCUGGGAGUACCACCCGAGGGGAAGGCGCCUAAAUGGAAUGAACCUGACGGUGAGUAGCGCAAGCCAGUGGUUCGAACCG
rnacentral:rRNA from 1 species